GACGAACGCUGGCGGCGUGCUUAACACAUGCAAGUCGAACGGAAAGGCCCUGCUUUUUUUGGUUGCUCGGGUUGCGAGCGGGAGGGUAACGCGUCAGUAACCUACCCUUCCCUUUGCGAUAGCUUCACGGCACUGAAGCUAAUACCAGAUAGGAUCUCCUGCUGCUUUGUGGUGGUUGGUCAGUUUCGGCUGUUGGGGCUGGUCUCGCGGGUUAUGCGCUUGUUGGUGGGGUAGUGGCUUACCAAGGCUUUGACGGGUAGACGGCCUGAGAGGGUGACCGGCAACAUUGGGACUGCGAUACGGGCCAGAAGCGGACGGGAGGGAGCAGUGGGGAAUAGUGUGCAACGGGGGGAAGGCGGAUGCAGUAACGCCGCGCGCGGGAUGACGGCCUUUGGGCAGUAAACCGGUUUUGCCUGGGACGAAGCGUGAGUGACGGUAACGGGUAAAGAAGCACCGGCUAACUACGUG
rnacentral:rRNA from 1 species